rnacentral:rRNA from 1 species
UUAGUCUUGUAAUUCAAGACUGGAAUGAAAGAAUUACCUAGAUACUCUUUAUUUUUAAGAUGAAAAGAUAAUUUUAUUUUUUAGUAAAAAAGCUAAAAUAGACCUUAUAGACAAGAAGACCCUAUAAAUCUUUACAUAUAAUAGCAAUAAUAUUCUAUAGUAUGUUUUACUGGGGCGGUAGAAAAUAAAACGUUUUUAAACUUUAUAGACAUAUUUUAAUAUCUGGAACUUCCAAAAUUAAAAUAAGAUACUUUAGGGAUAACAGCAUAAUUUAUUUAGAGAGCUCUUAUUGACAAAUAAGAUUGUGACCUCGAUGUUGAAUUAAGGUACCUCUCUAACGCAGGAG